UACGGGGGGGGCAAGCGUUGUUCGGAAUUAUUGGGCGUAAAGGGCGCGCAGGCGGUAAGAUAAGUCAGACGUGAAAGCCCUCGGCUUAACCGAGGAAUUGCGUUUGAAACUGUUUUGCUUGAGUACAGGAGAGGAGAGUGGAAUUCCCAGUGUAGCGGUGAAAUGCGUAGAUAUUGGGAGGAACACCGGUGGCGAAGGCGGCUCUCUGGACUGUUACUGACGCUGAGGCGCGAAAGCAUGGGGAGCAAACGGG
rnacentral:rRNA from 1 species